CUCCGGAGUAUGAGCUGGAGCUUCCCGGGCCAACUGGCCGGGCCAGUGCUCCUCCCCCUGGUUGCUUCUGUUUAUACCAAGAGGCUUUCCAUGCCGGACUUCGACUUUCGCUUCCGCCUUUUAUGAUCGCUCUCUUCCACUUUUUAAAUAUUUCUUUAGUUUCUGUAGCAUCAAACUCUUUUAGAUUUUUGAUAGGGUUUCUUUCCCUCUGUCGCCUAGCCGAAGUCCAGCCAACCCUUUCUCUGUUCAAAAAUU
rnacentral:lncRNA from 1 species